ensembl:misc_RNA Metazoa_SRP Metazoan signal recognition particle RNA
GCUGGGUGUGGUGGUGCGCACCUGUAGUCCCAGCUACUUGGGAGGCUGAGGCAGGAGAAUGGCUUGAACCCUGGAGGCGGAGGUUGCAGUGAGCCAAGAUUGAGCCACUGCACUCCAGCCUGGGUGACAGAGCCAGACUCCGUCUCAA